CAACAGCUCAAAUUUGAAAUCUGGCCUCGUCGGGGCCCGAGUUGUAAUUUGUAGAGGGUGUUUCGGGCGCGAUGCCGGUCUAAGUUCCUUGGAACAGGACGUCGUAGAGGGUGAGAAUCCCGUAUGCGACCGGCGAUCAAGCCCGUGCGAAGCCCCUUCGACGAGUCGAGUUGUUUGGGAAUGCAGCUCAAAAUGGGUGGUAAAUUUCAUCUAAAGCUAAAUACCGGCCAGAGACCGAUAGCGGACAAGUAGAGUGAUCGAAAGAUGAAAAGCACUUUGGAAAGAGAGUCAAACAGUACGUGAAAUUGUUGAAAGGGAAGCGCUUGCAAUCAGACCGGUCCGGAGGCGAUCAGCCGCUGCUUGUCAGCGGUGCACUCGCCUGCGAUCCGGCCAGCAUCGGUUUGGGCGGCGGGACAAAAGUCCCGGGAAUGUAGCUUCUCUCGGGGAGUCUUAUAGCCCGGGUCGCAAUGCCGCCCGCCCGGACCGAGGACCGCGCUUCGGCUAGGAUGCUGGCGUAAUGGUUGCAAGCG
rnacentral:rRNA from 1 species